rnacentral:misc_RNA from 1 species
GAUGAAGAACGCAGCGAAAUGCGAUAAGUAAUGUGAAUUGCAGAAUUCAGUGAAUCAUCGAAUCUUUGAACGCACAUUGCGCCCGCUGGUAUUCCGGCGGGCAUGCCUGUUCGAGCGUCAUUUCAACCCUCAAGCUCUCCGGAGUUUGGUGUUGGGGCGCCUGGGGCUUUUCGACCGCAGGGCCCUCAAGUCCAUCGGCGGGACCGCCAGGACACUGAGCGCAGUAGUAUUAUUUCGCUCGGUAGGAUCUUCCACGGCGGGUCGAUCUGGCCGCUAAACCCCCCAAUUCUCACCAAAGGUUGACCUCGGAUCAGGUAGGAAUACCCGCUGAACUUAAGCAUAUCAAUAAGCGGAGGA